AGAGUAAAAUAGUACGUGAAAUUGUUGAAAGGGAAACGAUUGAAGCCAGUCGUACCUUCGGGUAAUCAGCCUUUUCGGGUGCGAUUCUGUGGGGUUUGAUGAGCUUAACACCUUCAUGCUCUGCAUAUUCGUGCUCUUGGGUGUACUUGCCCGUGUGGUUGGUUAACAUCAAUUUUGGUGGUCAUAAAAUGACUGGAGGAAUGUAGCUUCGAUCUUGUAUUGAAGUGUUAUAGCCUUCGGUAGAUGUGAUGAUCGAGAUUGAGGAUUGCAACGGAUACCCUUCGGGGCUACCUGUCUGAUCUCUGAUCGUUGCUCUGGUGCCGAAAGCUUGCUUACGGUUAUCAAAGUCGAUGGUCAAUAGGUUAGAAUGGGUUAAAUUCGUUAAGGAUGUUGACGUAAUGGCUUUAAACGACC
rnacentral:rRNA from 1 species